rnacentral:rRNA from 1 species
GUCGUAACAAGGUUUCCCGUAGGUGAACCUGCGGAAGGAUCAUUACUUCCAUCAAUUUUAUUCACACCCGAGCAUUCAUGUUUUAUGGUUUUAUAUGUGGAGACUUUGUUUGGUGCGCACGCACUCGCCCAUGGGUUUCUCUUCUGGGGACCUGUGUGUGUGGGGUGUGUACGUACCUCUCUCUCUCUCAUAUAUUUUUCCUUUUUUCUUUACAAACACCUUUGUUGUGUGCUGAAUGCAACAUCCAUACCAAACUUUCCUUUCACUUUCUGAGGUGCCUUUUUUGACUGGAGCUUUCUCUUUGAAACUUCAGCAAGAAAAACCAACGAUAGACAACUUUCAACAGUGGAUAUCUUGGCUCUCGCAUCGAUGAAGAACGCAGCGAAAUGCGAUACGUAGUGUGAAUUGCAGAAUUCCGUGAAUCAUCGAAUCUUUGAACGCAUAUUGCGCCGAAGCUUUUGCAACGGCAUGCCUGCCUGAGCGUCAGUGACUUCUUUCACACCUUUCUCUUUCACUUUUUCUUCUUCUUCUUCUUCUGAAGAAAGAGGAAAUGGCGGAAGGACGAGAGGUGCGGUGUUGGCCUUCUUCGAUUCUUGGAGCCGAAGUCUGCUGAAGACGAGUGAUGGGACCGCGGCUCCGCAUUCGACGGUUGCGCCAAACGUGGUAGGCUGUUCUUUCUCUUUCAUGAGGAAGCUCGCACGAUCGUUUCCGGCGCUUCUCGUGUUUAGGAGCUGCACUUUGUAUGGUUUCAUUUUUCAGCGCGUGCAGUUGAGAUCUUUUUUUUCUCUCUCUUGUCGCGCACCCCCCCAACCUUUGACCUCAGUGAGGUAAGAGUACCCACCGAAUUUAAGCAUAUUACUAAGUGGAGGAAAAGAAACUAACCAGGAUUCCCUCAGUAACGGCGAGCGAAGCGGGAAGAGCCCAUCUUGAAAAUCCUUUUUGGAAUUGUAGUCUAGAGAACCGACCUCUGCGGAACAGCCGCCUCAAGUGCUCUGGAAGGGGCCGUCAGAGAGGGUGAGAGCCCCGUCGGGCGCGCUUUGUUCUCGCUCCACGAGUCGUGUUCGUCGAGUCGGGCUGUUUGGGAUUGCAGUCUGAAGUGGGAGGUAAAUUCCUUCUAAGGCUAAAUACUGGCGAGAGACCGAUAGCGAAAAAGUACCGUGAGGGAAAGAUGAAAAGAACUUUGAAAAGAGAGUUAAAAAGUGCUUGAAACUGUUGACUGGGAAGCUGUUGGUGCCACGGGUGCGUCCCUGAGCCUCUGGCCGUGGGUCGCUGGUCAGCGUGGAUUGCGUGGGCGGUACAAGUGCGAUUGCUGAUGUCGUUUAUGCCGCCUUCGCGAUCGAGGACCGACGCUGGCGGAAUGGUACCAACCGGCCCGUCUAGAAACACGGACCAAGGAGUCUAACUUGUAUGCGAGUCCGCGAGUGGAAAGCUCGUCGGCGCAAGGAACCUGAUACUGAUGUCCAGCAUCGGCCAACCUUGAUCUUUUGUGAACGGUUUGAGUCUGAGCAUACAGGGUAGGACCCGAAAGAUGGUGAACUAUGCGUGA